rnacentral:lncRNA from 1 species
GAGACUGCGCUGCUCCAGCCCGGGAAAAGUUCUAGAAUAGAGGCGCGGCGCAAGUCAGGGGGCCGCCUUGGAAACCGCAGCAAGGGCUCCUUGUGGGCUCCAGGCUGUUGGAGAGUGAGGGAGCCUCCUCCCCUUUCCUUCCCGUGGAGUAAACAGAGCUUGGCAGGGCUGGAGGCUUUCUUCCUUUUAAAAAGUGCCAUUCUGAACAACGAUACAAAGUGAAAAAAUAAAUUUUUUAAAAAAGAAAGGGAAAAACUACAAUUUGACCAUUCUGACCAGCCUCCUUGUUCCAACUGGCCUCUUGAUUUGUAUAAAGAUAAUGGGGUCCGGCGGCCCCCUUGAUGCAUGAAUUGCACGCUGGGCAUAAUGAACUUAUUGUGCGAAAGCACUUUGGACUUCGGACUGUGUUCCUAUGUCAGAAUUUUACUGUGGUUUGUAAGAUAAACUGGAAGGAAACAAACUCGUGGUUAACUCUUGUCAAUACGUGUCUUGAACCAAGCAAAGUGACAUUUCCUACCUGUGGCUUUGACUUUAAGCUGCACAAAAGGUAGGAGCUAGCCUCUCAGCUGUUCAAAGCCUAGAAUGAGAUGCCUGCUUAGUAGGUGUUAAAUUAUAACAGCAACAACCCAUAUGGUGCUUAUUAGGAGAAUAGUAUUCCAAAACUUCUCUAAUGACUGUGACCCUCCUGUGAAAUUCUGAUUUCAAUUGUAUAUGGGGUACAAUAAAUCUUUAUCUUUUAUCACCAGAAAAGCUAAUUGAACUGCUGUUUGCAGGCAGAAAUAACAAAAUGGGGGUAAUGGGCUCUUAGCCUGGGCUAAGACUCUCAACAGCUUUUUUCUGUUUUGCAGCUCACACAUACAGUCGGCUCAGGCAGACGGCCCAAGACAAGCCUGUGCCAAAGAAAUGCUGAUUUAGUCUGACCCAGACAAUCUCUACUCCCACAUGUCACUUCUCUGCAGAACUCUUACUAGUAUGGCAAAUACUUUAAAAAUCAUACAAUAAAAGAAGGCAAAACCUCAGUAAUUUGAGGUUCACUUUUAAUAAACUCUUUCCAUGCAUUAAAAUAAAUUGAGGCCCUGAGCUCUGGCGAAAUGUUUCCGGGUUUUUAAUUCCCACCGCCCCCCCACCCCGGAGGCAUAAAUAGCCACAUACGCAAUUCAAAGUACUCUAUUUGAACUAGUAUAGGAAAGAUGUUUUCUAUAGAUAUUGCAGAUAAAUUUGCAAUGACUUAAAUAUUUAUCUGCUAAAGUUGCUGAGUGCCUCCACAACAAAACCGAACUCAUUUUUUGUGCACGAUGGGCAUCUGAAUGCUACCUGAUGGUGAUGAUAUAGAAAUACUAAUUGCUAAGUAAAAGUGGUAAGUGAUGUGAUCUACAGAUUAUGUAAUGUAGUUCAUUUCCCCCAAAAUGUAAACUAUAUUUAGAAAUAUUCAAAUGUGACAUUAUUACCCUAUACAGGAUGUCUUAUCUCAGCAUCAAGGGCGUCUGUAGAGCUGCUGGAGGAGGCUCUUUAGAUUACGCAAUCUAACUUCUGACAGCCCAUUCAAAGGAUGAGAACCGGUGCCUUGAAGCUCUCAAUUUAAACUAGGAAUCCUGUAGUCUAGUCUCUAGACUUAUCUGACCUAGGCAGAAAUCAUCUCCUAGAGGCUUUUCAUGGCUGAUUUUGUGAUGUUUUACUUGCACUGAAGAUUUAUUAUUCCAUGUUUUGAGUUAGUGUUAUACAGUGCCAUUCUAUAUAUUUUCCAAAUAAAUGUUUGUCUUACAGAAGAAACUGUUUAUACCAUUCUAAUAGGGUUGUUUAAUAAGGAAAUUUUACUCAGUUGGGUUUUGGAUUAAAAAUAAAAGAACAGCUUUUAAGAUACAAUGUCUAAAUGAUUCUCAAUAAUGAUCUGUCUAUGGUAUAGUUACUUUUUGUCCUAAAAUACCUUUUCUGUGGGUUGUAUGGAUUGUUUUAUGUUGUGCCAGGCAGAUGUGCAUAAUUUUCUGAUUAAAACCAGUGCAAAUACAGACUUCAUAUUCUAUAAUCUUUUAAAGAGACAAGUUACACUUCAAAUCAAACAAUCAGAGAGCUGUUUCAAAUCAAGCAUUUUAAGUUAAGUUGUAUUGACAUGGGGAGGGAGCAGAUGACACACCUAAUGAGUUAAAACAAUGUUCACUGUUAAAUUAGGUAUAAAUUAAUGUAAUAACUAGGGGUAGUGUGGGUAUCCCUGACAAAUUAUGGAUUUAUCUGAGGAUUAAUGGAGGAAUCCACAGAUAAUCCAUAAAUCUACCCAUUUUCUAUCUUCUAACCGCUUAGCGAGUAAUUUAUAAAUUGUCUAUUUGUGUGCUUUUUAAGUUACAGUGAGGGGUUCAGACAUAUUAAGGAAAAUGCAGGCUGUCAAGAGAAACAGCAACAAGGGAUCUAUAGAGUUUGUAAUCUGGAAAGUCACACCCGUAAUUUUUAUUUGAUUGUAGUACCAUUGCUGUCAGAGGCCUAACCAGUGGCACUGAAGGAGUUAAAACAGUCCCCACCCCCACUCCCGAUUUCUAGAACCCCACGAUAAAUUGGGUAAAUAUGUAUUCCAUUCAUUGGUGCAUCUGACCUUGGUCUGUGACAGAGGAAAGGCGUGUCUUCUCAUACUGUUCCCUAUGAACAAAAGGCAAGCAAAUGAGGGUGACUCAGGACUUCUCAUGGCCUACACACAACUGAACAUUUUUCUGAAUGAUUCCACGUAUACACUUAGGAAUCAGGAAGAGAAACAUUUUACUCUUCACUAACCAAAUAAAACCAUCUAUAAAUCAUAUGCAAAACAACUUUUGAGUAAAGAGGGACUUAAAAGUCUAGGAAUUAAAAAAGGAUUUCCAUAGUUUCCUUUUAACUCUCCCCCAACUCCCCUUUGGGGAAUAAACAAAGACAUCUGCCACAUCAAGAGUCUGGUUUGUUUUCUUAACUGAAAACGAAAUGCAGUCAUUAAAGUAUAUCUUUGGGAAGAGGUUUUGAAAUGUUGAGAAUUACUUCUACAAGCUGCACUAUUUUCAAUUUCACUAAAAAUAAAAUUUAGCAUUUUUGUUACAAAAACAUAGUUCAUCCUAUUUCUUUUAACCUAGUUAUUACAUGAAAAAUUGUUUAUCAUCUGUAACUUGCUAAGAAUAUGGUUUCUUGAAAACCUUAAAUGGACUAAUAAUGAAAAACUAUUAAAAUAUAUAUAGUGAUGGGCCCCUCCUAGUUACCAGACCACCCUAGUGUAAAUAUAUUCAAGUACACAUUCACUGUUGCUGUUUAAUUUAAAACAUAUAGUAACUCUAUGUAUAUCCUAGCCUCCAACUCUUUAUGAGUUUCACAACUUCCUUUCAUAGAGAAGUCUGCCAAGCCAUUAAUCAAUAAAAAGAGUAAAAGCUGCAACAUCUAGGAAAUUUCUUAUUAUAUGAGAGUAGCCAGUAAAAUGUGUCUCAGUGCUUUCUACCUUUUAUCUCUAUUUAUAAAUUUAAGUUUCAGGAUAUCAAUAAAGCUCAUACAUGGCUUUGGCUUUUUUCAUUCCUAAGCUUUCCAAAGUAUAAGGCUUUUUUUUUUUUUAAAUCCCUUUUGUCUUUAGCGCAUUUCCUAUGGCCCAACGUAGCUGUUUUAUUCCAAAGCUUUUCAAAGAGCAGCUCCAGGUCUUGAGAGUCUUUCCAGUGUCGUCACUAUCUUCUCUUUCCAAUCUACCAUUGCAGAAUGGCUGGUUCUGCUGCUAGUUGAAAAAUAAACAAAUGCUUUCUAGCCGUACUUUGUUCAGCUCUUUUAUCUGUGUCCCCUAUCCAGUUGCCCUUUCCGCAGUCCCUGGCACUUCUAUUUUAUACCAUCAGUUGCCUUUUUGUUCCAUGUCUUUUAUCUCCUGAAGUUCAGGCAAACCCCAACCCCAAACCCACACAUCCUUUAGUCACAUUGCCAUUAGUGAUUAAAACAAUAGCCAUUCUAAGCUUGCUUUAGAAAAUUAAAAAAGGCCUCAGAAAAUGUUCAGUGCUCCCAAUUUUAUUUUUAUUUAAUGCUAAAAGUUAAAGAAAA